ACGGUUUGCUACGGACCUGACGCAACGCCACGUUACUGUUCAGACCACAAAGUUGAUUAUUUCCUAGUAACUGCAGUUCCCGAAGUGUUUCCACUCUCAACGCUGGUUUGUCAACGAUUAACCCGUUUAGUUUAAUACAGAACGACACAUCGUGCUUUUUAAUCGUCUGUAGUUGCCUCGAAUGAAAUGCACACCACUUCAGGGCGAUCCGUGAACACGUCGCUGAAAGCCGGACCGCAACGGAGGACCAAAAACGACCGACCGCGUCAUUGCCCUAGCUAGAAAAUAGGCAAUCGGUGCGAGACUGUUUGGAAACGGUGCAGGACGUCGGAGCUCUCUGCCGCUAGUCUCAUGGAUCGAGACGACGCUGUGACGGCAACGACGAAAGCAGCGAAAUGCUUUUCACUGCUUCACUCGUCCUCGCAUCUCUCACUCGUUGAUCAAUUUCUUUAGCAGACCGCACGAUUAAAACGCUUGACGCGUUAAAGCCGUGCGUACAGGGACACCAGAGAGGAUUUGCAGGAUGGAAGGCUGACGCAAUAAUCUUACGUCAGUCCUUCCAGGAUUUUGCAGAAAUGAACGCAAAAUCAAGGAAAACUCCAAACAUUCGAGGAGAUUUUUUUUCUCUCUCUCGAAAUUACCGCCGAUUCGGGCCGAGACGCGUCACGUGACGUCAUCACGACGCAUGUCGAGCCAAAGCCCUCUUCGAUUCACGUGCGUCGAACCAUAACGGCGCCAUUGGCGUUUCUGGAACUUCUGCUUCUGGCUGACGUCCAAGGUGUAAAUCCUGCUUCCUUGUGCUAACGGUUCAGCGACGAUCCAGAUUGAAGCUCACCGCGUCAUGUAUCGCCGUGAUGGGGUUAUUACUGGAGCGAAUGGACGGCCGGAGCGUCUGCUCCGAGUUGAGAAUCCGGAGAGUCUCGUACAGACGUGGAAGCGUCCCUUUUGCGUCGGUUUCGGACGCCUAGGGGCGUGACAACUUGUCGGUGUUUCACGAGUCGGGAACGAGAACAGCAACAAUCCAUCUCUUGGGUUUGACACGUGCACUACACUGUUGUCCUCCUGACAUAACACGUACUUUUGUCUGAUUAAUAUAUGGAUUUGUAAUCGUUCGUUUGUGGCCACGGUGGGAAACGGUGAAAGCAGUUGAACCCGCUUGAACCAUGCUUCUUAACCGCUGUGGAUUCUUUUGAGUCGUCUUAUCCGGUUUUCUAAGCUCUCUUGCACAUUUAUGGUUAUAGUUACCUAUAUUUCCUGCUUUAUCAGAAAACAUUAUCAAGUGCUACUCUAGACAACAAGUCAGUACUUUUUUUUUUUUUUUUUUUAAAUGGCAAAUCGAUGCAUUCAAACUGAACAUGAUCUCAAAUCAUGAAGCAUUUGCGGUGUUGGAAAGUAGCGUAAAAGUAGCGUAGCAUUCACAAUGUAUAACGUUUUUUUAAUAAGUGUUGUGUCGAGUAGUUUCUGCUUUGGGUUUUCUUCAAAGUCGAAUCCCCCAAAGAGUCGAUUCAGGCGCCGAAACCACUGAAUAGUCAAACCGUAAAGCUUUGGAGUCAAUUCCAGACCGCACAGCAAUGAUGAUUCGCCUCACCUACACACCCAGCUAGCAAAAUACAUGUAGCAUUAGAGUUUAUUUUGGGUCACGAAACAGAGAGUAGAUAUUUUUAUUCGGCCUUUGUUUUGAAUUGAACAAGUCGGGAAUUGAAACGCGGUAUAAAGGUGUCCCGAAAGGCCGCGUACGUAGCACCACAUGGACUGUGCGUCCGUCAGUGGAUGUUCCUGGACGUCCAGGUCUUCUCGGAUGGUCCACAACACUUAAUAAGUCUGGCGAGAGUGUCGUGUGUGUGUGUGUGUGUGUGUGUGUGUGUGUGUGAUGUGCUCGCCUUGCCACGUUUCCUGUUAAAAUCCAUCGCGACCCUGCGACGGCUUCCCCGUCCACACCCAUGAGAGUGAUUUCUAUACGUUAUAUAUAAAAAUGUGUGAUAUAAACUAAGAAUUAAACAUUUUGGAAGACAUUUUGCUAAAAGAAAGAAAAAGAAAAAAAAAAUCCUCUAUGGCACACUCUUUGAAAUAAAGGUUCCUCAAUGGUUCUUUAAAGGUUCUGCAAAGAACCUUCUGGUCAAGAACCGUUUUUCAUUGUCUUGAGUGGAGCUAUAUGGAACUGUCUUUGGAGAUGAAAGAAGUUCUUUGUUUCAUUACAGGUUCUAUAGGUAAUAAUAAUAAUAAAAGAAGUUGGGUUCCACCUGCAUCAUGGAUUCAAGUCAAGUCAUGGAUUCAGUCAAAAUAACUCGCGGGGGGUCGAGAGAGAGAGCAAGACAGAGCGCAAGAGAAAUGUAGCCAGCUGUACCAGAGAACUGAAACUGGAACGCAGCAGACUUUCCUACAAGAGCGAGCGUUUUAUUCCUCUUUUGCCACAGAGACUCGCAACGAUUACAAUUCUUUAUUUAUUAAACAAUUUUUAAUCCGUAUAUAGUCAUCUUUACUGUUCUGUGAAACGAGUCACUUCCUGUUCCCGCUUACGUUACAGCAGCUACAAACACUCCGAGAAACCAAAGAAAAUGUCUGGAAAAAAACUUAGUUACAGCUUUACCUCCGACACUUCCAUGAAGUGUUAGAUAAACAAUCAUCUCCUUACAGAAAACUCCACCGCGUCGACGAUUUUUAAAAAAAUCUGUUCAUCAUCAGUGACCCGAGUCCCUGUGAACGAGCCGUUACUAUAGAAACGACGGCGCAUCAGAACGAGCGAAUUAAUGUAAACCUGCGCUACGGUCAGAGCUGCCGUGUUAUAGAGAACUAAAUCGACACCUUCCGACCAAUCACAAUCCAGAACUCGACAGCGCUGUCAGAGCUGCCGUUAUAGAGAACUAAAUCCAC
ensembl:lncRNA